rnacentral:misc_RNA from 1 species
CCCCCACCCAUGAUUAACUUUGCCUGCCAGCCCAACCUUGACAAACUUGGCUACAGUCAGAAGUCCAGAUUUGCUUACUAAGAGGACUCUUUUAAAUUAAACCUGAAAUACAAAUCUCAAGAUAAAGUGCUGGUACAUGUACUCUGAACUGAUAGUGACUAAGAUUUAUCAAGGUGAACGUUAUAGUGAAACGAGAAUAACUGAUAGCUUUGCAUGGAGACCAAAUGAGAUGCAUGUAGGAAAAGUUCCAACAAGCACCUGCCAUGAAUGCUUGCUGCAAUACGGCCUGUAAUCUAUGUUUUCUUGUGAUAUAUUUGUACGUGUAUGCUGUGGGCAUUGUUAUAUACAUUAUGUACUGUGUACUAGCUCUCUUCCAGUCAAUAAAUUUGUUUCUACUCU